CCCAGAGUUGCUGGCUUGCUUAGUGUUGGGUGUGACUGUGGGCUACAAAUCCCAGAGGCACCUGGAAGCAGGAAGAGGAAGUGAUAAGAAACCCUGUUCAGUCCAGGAUCAGAGUAACAGGACUCCAAAUCCCAGAGACUUCAGGGGCAGCAGGACGAGCAAGUGAACACACAUCGCAGGCUGUAUUUAUAAUUUUUAGUUUAUAGUUUUUCAGAGAGAACUAUUUUUGUUCAAGCUUUUAUGAUUUCAGCACUAUUACCUUCCCCCACCUGAGACAGAGCACAAGCUAGGGCCUGGCCAUGUACUUAGCCCAAAGGGCAGAAUUGAGAUACUGAGCAGGGAGCUCCAGAGACAGAAGCAGGACCCUGCAGUUUGAGGUAAAGCAUGUGAGUGAGAUCUUUUGUGAGCCCCCCCUGCUGAGCUGGGUGGCACAUAACACUCAAUGGCUGUUUUUUUUACCUUAUCUUGCAAUAUAUCUGAUGGUUUUCAGAGACACACACUCAAGCUUAAAUAAUUUGUUUGUUACUUUAAAUUUUGUUGACAGAUUCACUAGUUCAUUAGAUCAGUGUAAACCAGUCAAAUUCUUUGGGCCAGUUCAGGUGAAUUUACAGCUGUUUUGCAUCGCAGGAGCUGUGGAAAAGCACUGAAAAGUACAGGUGAACCUGAUUCUUAUUUUGCAACUGUUUGGUUACAUUUGAGGGCUAUGAUACAAAAACUGUCUGUACUGUGAAAGGAGGAGCAGAGGGAAUACAUUCCCAGUUCUAAUGUAGUUGUGCUUUAUGACCCUGCCCAGCACUUCUGUCUCAAUUUUCCUAGCUGCGUUCCCUCAGUGGACAGUAAAGCCAUCGAGGUAGCAAUGCAAUAAGAUGCCUGUUUAAGGAAGUGAUACCCAAGCAAGGAUAUAGGUGUAGAAUGUCUUAACAUCAGUGGCAAAUGGCCUAAAAAAUUUCCCAAGGAAGGAACUCCUCACAUUUCUUGUCUCCAUCCUGUUAGCAGCUUCAAUGAGGUCCAGGAGCAAUACUGCAUCACCCCAGGUUCUCACCAAGCCACAGCAUCAUCAUCUUGCAUUCCAAUGAAGUCCAGACUGUCCCUUGCCAACUGAAAAGUCACGAGUGGGAAUUUGUAUUGUUUCCUCAUGAGAUUCAUUUUUUGUCAUCCUGCUGAUUGGGCAAAAGGUGUGAAUCACAGCCAAAGGAAAAUAUGAUUUGAAUUCCAUGGUGCCAGAAGGACCUUACAAGGCCACUUCAUCUCAUAGGAAGCCUUGUGCCAGAGAAGAAGAGGAGAAAACCUUGUCUGGAAUCUACAAAACAAUGGUUUAGCAUGAAAAUGAGAACUUGCUUGAUGUGGUCUUAGCUACCUUGGACGUUUUAAUUUGUGUUGAACUCCUGUGUUUGUAUGUGAUAUUUUGUUCCUCAAGUAUGUCUUUAACCAUCUAACUAGAGCGCUUUCCCCACCAACUUUGUCUUAUGCUAUAUAUUUUGAAAUAUUUUUCAUUUCCCUAAAUCUACUGCUAUAUCCCCCAAUUAUGGUUAUGGCUGUCUCCUUAAGGAGACUGGUUUCUGUAUCCAAAAUUCACCUUUCUAACCUCCGUCUAUUUUUUGCAUAGCCUUGUUUGAAGCAGCAUCACAGGAUUUGAUAUAAUGUAAAGAAAAAAUAGUUCCUCAAUCUUAUUUGUCUUACAAAAGU